rnacentral:rRNA from 1 species
UACGAAGGGGGCUAGCGUUGCUCGGAAUCACUGGGCGUAAAGGGUGCGUAGGCGGGUCUUUAAGUCAGGGGUGAAAUCCUGGAGCUCAACUCCAGAACUGCCUUUGAUACUGAGGAUCUUGAGUUCGGGAGAGGUGAGUGGAACUGCGAGUGUAGAGGUGAAAUUCGUAGAUAUUCGCAAGAACACCAGUGGCGAAGGCGGCUCACUGGCCCGAUACUGACGCUGAUGCGCGACAGCAUGGGGAGCAACAGG